rnacentral:rRNA from 1 species
UACGUAGGGGGCUAGCGUUGUCCGGAAUCAUUGGGCGUAAAGCGCGUGUAGGCGGCCCGGUAAGUCCGCUGUGAAAGUCGGGGCUCAACCCUCGAAAGCCGGUGGAUACUGUCGGGCUCGAGUGCGGAAGAGGCGAGUGGAAUUCCUGGUGUAGCGGUGAAAUGCGCAGAUAUCAGGAGGAACACCGAUGCGAAGGCGGCUCACUGGACCGGUACUGACGCUGAUGCGCGAAAGCGUGGGAGCAAACGGG